rnacentral:rRNA from 1 species
GGUCACUGCUAUUGGGAUUCGACUAAGCCAUGCGAGUCGAGAGGGUUCGGCCCUCGGCUGAUGGCUCAGUAACACGUGGAUAAUCUGCCCUUAGGUGGAGGAUACCCUCGGGAAACUGAGAAUAAUACUCCAUAGGUCUAGGAUGCUGGAAUGCAUCUAGACUGAAAACUCCGGUGCCUAAGGAUGAGUCUGCGGACUAUCAGGUUGUAGUCAGGGUAAAGACCUGACUAGCCUACGACGGAUAUGGGUUGUGAGAGCAAUAACCCAGAGAUGAUAUCUGAGACACGAUAUCAGGCCCUACGGGGCGCAGCAGGCGCGAAAACUUCACACUGUGCGAAAGCACGAUGAGGGAAUCCCAAGUGCCAGCUCGUAAGAGUUGGCUGUUUUUCUGUCUAAAACACAGAGAGAGUAAGAGCUGGGUAAGACGGGUGCCAGCCGCCGCGGUAAUACCUGCAGCUCGAGUGGUGACUGUUAUAUUGGGCCUAAAACGUCCGUAGCCGGUUUAGUAAAUGCCUGGGUAAAUCGUGUAGCUUAACUAUACGAAUUCCGGGUAGACUGUUAAACUUGAGACCGGGAGAAGUUAGAGGUACUCCUGGGGUAGAGGUGAAAUUCUGUAAUCCUAGGGGGACCACCGGUGGCGAAGGCGUCUGACUAGAACGGGUCUGACAGUGAGGGACGAAGCCCUGGGGCGCAAACCGGAUUAGAUACCCGGGUAGUCCAGGGUGUAAACGCUGCUUGCUUGAUGUUGGUUGGGCUCCGAGCCCAACCAGUGUCGGAGAGAAGUUGUUAAGCAAGCUGCCUGGGAAGUACGGUCGCAAGACUGAAACUUAAAGGAAUUGGCGGGGGAGCACCACAAGGGGUGAAGCCUGCGGUUCA